ACGGUUGCAUUCCAGUUGCAUUCAUGAUUGCCGUACUCAGCCUCAGGUGUGAUCCCUGGCCAGGCCAUGCGGUCAGUCAAGGUCAUGCAUUCCCCAACCAUGCUGUUUGAAAUGUUCACAGCUUCUUGUAAAUAAACAGGCAAUUCACCAGCGAGAUGUACCUGUGGCAUAUCAACACUCAUUUCAUGCACACACGCAGCAGGAUCAUCCAGUAUGCACCCAUUCAGUAUCCCAUCACUCUCCCCAAACAGGAAGUCCUAGAUUAACCCUCAGUUCACUUGGUCUGAUUCCUGUUAGACCCCCACGCUGUCUCUGUAGCAAAGCCGCGAGCUUGGCGCCCCUUCCCAGGCGUUGGCUCCGGCUGCCCCUGUUCCCCCGCUGGCCACCCCCUGUUGCUUGCUCG
rnacentral:lncRNA from 1 species